rnacentral:lncRNA from 1 species
CACUACAGCGUUUGCAGCUUUCCAGCUCAUCAUGCUGAACUGAAGACAAGACAAGAGGGGAAAAGCAAGGGGCAUCCACAUUAAUCUGGAUAAAGGCUGCUUCUUCAGCCACAGCUAAGGUGCAUGUAAUAGGAAUGAGAGCCACCUGUGUUUCAGAAAGCGUCUGGGAUUUUAGAGCUGCUUGUAACUGCAGCCUAACACAGCCUCAGCCAACUGAUACAUCCAGUGUCAUCAAAACAGAGCAGUGAACCAAGCAGCCGGCUCAUUGUUUGAGAAACAGUUGUUUCACGGGUGAAUUGACCUUAUCUUCGGCAGCCACCGGUUUGCUAAGCAUUUACUUUGAACAUUUCUAUGGCUGGAGUACAAUGGCAUGAUCUCGGCUCACUGCAACCUCCGCCUCCCAGGUUCAAGCGAUUCUCCUGCCU